rnacentral:tRNA from 2 species
GCGGCAGUGGCGGAAUUGGCAGACGCGCAAGAUUCAGGUUCUUGUGCCCGUAAGGGUGUGAAGGUUCAAGUCCUUUCUGCCGCACCA